rnacentral:rRNA from 1 species
CAGCAGCCGCGGGAAUACGUAGGGCGCAAGCGUUAUCCGGAAUUAUUGGGCGUAAAGAGCUCGUAGGCGGUUUGUCGCGUCUGCCGUGAAAGUCCGGGGCUCAACCCCGGAUCUGCGGUGGGUACGGGCAGACUAGAGUGAUGUAGGGGAGACUGGAAUUCCUGGUGUAGCGGUGAAAUGCGCAGAUAUCAGGAGGAACACCGAUGGCGAAGGCAGGUCUCUGGGCAUUAACUGACGCUGAGGAGCGAAAGCAUGGGGAGCGAACGGGAUUAGAUACCCCUGUAGUCCCUGUCUCUUAUAC